UGCGGUAAUUCCAGCUCCAAUAGCGUAUAUUAAAGUUGUUGCAGUUAAAAAGCUCGUAGUUGAAUUUCGGGGUUCUACCGUUGGUCGGGCAAUAGUCUGUACUGGCGUGUAGAAUUUCUACCUUCUGGGGAACCAUCAUGUUAUUUAUUUAGCGUGGUGGGAAACCAGGACCUUUACCUUGAAAAAAUUAGAGUGUUCAAAGCAGGCUUACGUCUGAAUACAUUAGCAUGGAAUAAUAAAAUAGGACGGUGGUCCUGUUUUGUUGGUUUCUGAAUCACCGUAAUGAUUAAUAGGGAUAGUUGGGGGCAUUAGUAUUCAAUUGUCAGAGGUGAAAUUCUUGGAUUUAUUGAAGACUAACUUCUGCGAAAGCAUUUGCCAAGGAUGUUUUCAUUAAUCAAGAACGAAAGUUAGGGGAUCGAAGACGAUCAGAUACCGUCGUAGUCUUAACCAUAAACUAUGCCGACUAGGGAUCGGACGAUGUAAAUG
rnacentral:rRNA from 1 species